rnacentral:sRNA from 1 species
GAUCAGAAGGAGGACGGUUGUGUUGUGGAUAUGCAUCACUUCAACUCUGGGGCACAGUCUGUUCUUGCCUAUGCCACUGUGAAUGGCUCUCUGGUUGGCUGGGACCUUAGGUCUUCAAGCAAUGCGUGGACUUUAAAGCACGAUUUAAAGUCAGGCCUCAUCACUUCCUUUGCUGUGGACAUCCACCAAUGCUGGCUCUGCAUUGGUACAAGCAGUGGUACCAUGGCUUGUUGGGACAUGAGGUUCCAGUUGCCAAUUUCAAGUCACUGUCAUCCUUCCAGGGCUCGAAUCAGGCGCCUCUCAAUGCACCCUCUGUAUCAGUCCUGGGUGAUUGCAGCUGUUCAGGGCAACAACGAAGUGUCCAUGUGGGACAUGGAGACUGGUGACAGAAGAUUUACUCUCUGGGCCAGCAGUGCACCACCACUUUCUGAAUUACAGCCUUCUCCUCAUAGCGUCCAUGGUAUUUACUGUAGUCCUGCAGAUGGAAAUCCUAUCCUGCUAACAGCUGGCUCAGAUAUGAAAAUAAGGUUUUGGGACUUGGCUUACCCAGAAAGGUCCUAUGUUGUUGCAGGAAGUACUAGUUCCCCAUCUGUGUCCUACUACAGGAAAAUAAUUGAAGGCACUGAAGUUGUCCAGGUACUGUACUCUUUUCAUUCCUUUCAACUUUUGUAAGCACAUACAUGGCUUUUGUAAACAGAAUUGAUUAAAAUAAAUGGCUUGACCAAGCG